AUUCAUGUAGUUUAUAUAAAACACUUCAUUUUCAAUGAAGAGAUAAACUUAUUGUUUUAUGAAUA
rnacentral:tRNA from 1 species